GUCUACAGCCAUACCACCCUGAACACGCCCAAUCUCAUCUGAUCUUGGAAGCUAAGCAGAGUCGGGCCUGGCUAGUACUUGGAUGGGAGACAGCCUGGGAAUACUGGGUGCUGUAGGUU
rnacentral:rRNA from 1 species